rnacentral:rRNA from 1 species
CCUACGGGAGGCAGCAGUGAGGAAUAUUGCUCAAUGGGGGGAACCCUGAUGCAGCGACGCCGCGUGAGUGAAGAAGUAUUUCGGUAUGUAAAGCUCUAUCAGCAGGGAAGAAAAUGACGGUACCUGAUUAAGAAGCCCCGGCUAACUACGUGCCAGCAGCCGCGGUAAUACGGAGGGGGCACGCGUUAUCCGGGUGUACUGGGGGGAAAGGGAGCGUAGACGGCAGUACAAGUCUGGAGGGAAAUGCCGGGGCUUAACCCCGGAACUGCUUUGGAAACUGUGGAGCUAGAGUGCAGGAGAGGUAAGUGGAAUGCCUAGUGUAGCGGUGAAAUGCGUAGAUAUCAGGAAGAACACCAGUUGCGAAGGCGGCUUACCGGA